GAAGUGGUGUGAGAGACUGACGUGAGGUGGCACGAGAGCCCAGUUGCCAAUGACGGAGCUGCGAGAUACGGCGAGAGCCAACGGGAGCGGAGUGAGAGGUUCUCCGACCAAUUGGGACUAAGUGAGAGGAGAUGCGGGCCAAUGGGUACUCCGCGUCCCACCGCUGGAGAGAUGGUCAAAUGUGGGAGGCGAGGUGGUCCCAGCUUGGGAGUCUGUCAGGUUGCCUAGCAACCAGAACUAGGCUUCACCUGAAAGAUUUCUGAAAUACUGUACUUGAUUUGAAUUCAGUCUUAACGUUUUCUAGCAAAGUGUGCGUAGAUUGCAAAUUGGAGCAGAAUACUUCACCCAGAACUUGUAUAUGUGUAAAUAGUCUAAAUACCCGAUUUGUAAAUACUCAAAUAUUGUCUCCUUUAUUCAAAACUACCUUGACUUAAAGAAAACAGAACAAACAAAAGUGCUCUUGAGACAAAGCUUUCUAACUAAACCUAAAACAAAAUGGUUUCAGGAUUAGGCAUCCGUGGGGAGGGUGCAGAGCCUUGCCUGUGAAGGGAAGUUGAUACUGAAUUCAAGGAUUUUUGCCAGGCCAUGCACUCUGAGGAAAGGGACUCCAUUUGGCCUGUUGCCCACUGUAUCUUCUAAGCUUCAUAUGUGGUACCUGCCAAGUAAAAGGCUGUGGAAAGGCCACGUAAUUGUCGGCAUAGUAAAUCCAUCGGAUACGGACUGCCUAACUCCCCCAGCAAAUAGAGAGGAGCAAUUCAAGCUAGAGGAAUUCACUGAAACACUAUUUGGGGGAAUCCAAAGGAGGACACUUGUGGCUUUGCAAUAAACUCUGCCUCUAUCUGGUCAGAGAGAGAAGCCAUAAUACUUAGCUUUGGUGGGGGACCAUGAGUGAGGUUCGGAGUUGUUUGUAUCUCUCCCCAUCUCAAUUUAAUUAACAGGAAUGCUAUUGAUAAGGGGUCAUUGGUAAUUCUGUGAUUCACACAAUUAUUGUUAUGGGAGAUUCUUUUAACCACUAUAGAUGCUAACCUAGUAAGACACAUUCUCAGCAGCAAAGUGGCAAAAUAUAUUGGAAAUGGAACCACUGUGAAGUGGUGGCAUAAAUGACUUGGGGGAAGAGGACCACUCAGUAAUGAUUUCCAUUCCACAGUAUUGCCCAUGACUCACUUCAUAUGUAUGUAAAGUAACUAGAUAGUAAACAGAGAGAGAGACAUUGCCUGAUUAUGAUCAACAGCAAUUUGGGGUGGGGUAGGAGAUUAAAAUUCUUGGCAUAUUGGAAUAUGCUGAAAGGCAGUAAGGACAAACACAAGAAAGAAGAUACAGUUUUGUCGUUAGGAAUCGCAAAUAAUUCCAACUCCAGGAGUACAUAAUGGGAAAUGAUUAGCCAGACGGUCAUGAGAAUGACCAUCUUACACAACCGGAAAUUUCUACAAGGAACAGACCGUCUUUUUGAUCACGUUAAUCUUCAAUUAAGCAAAGUGAGCAUGAUUAUUGAUUACUGGGAAGCCAAGCAAUGGAGAACAAAAAGGCAAGGCAAGGUACUUCUAUAGAAGGGUGCACCCUUACAGAUGGAGCAAUGCUUUCUCUUCAAACUUAUUUAACAUGUCUUGAUUUAGUUGUUCUGCUUGAUUUUCCAAAAGAAGAAGCUUUUCUGGAUGAGGUGGAGGAUAGUUAAGGGAGGUUUUAGUAAGUACCGUUUCUAUGAGCCUCUGCACCAACCCACAGAUGCAUGGUAUGACACAGCACCUGACAAGAAUAAGUACACCUAUUAUGACUAUGAGGGAG
rnacentral:lncRNA from 1 species